rnacentral:rRNA from 1 species
UACGUAGGGCGCAAGCGUUGUCCGGAAUCAUUGGGCGUAAAGAGCUCGUAGGUGGUCUGUUACGUCUGCUGUGAAAUCCUAGGGCUUAACCCUGGGCCUGCAGUGGAUACGGGCAGACUAGAGGUAGGUAGGGGAGAAUGGAAUUCCCGGUGUAGCGGUGAAAUGCGCAGAUAUCGGGAGGAACACCGGUGGCGAAGGCGACUCUUUGGCCUGUAACUGACACUGAGGCGCGAAAACGUGGGGAGCAAACAGG